rnacentral:rRNA from 1 species
AUACGAAGGGGGCUAGCGUUGCUCGGAAUCACUGGGCGUAAAGCGCACGUAGGCGGCUUUCUAAGUCAGGGGUGAAAUCCUGGAGCUCAACUCCAGAACUGCCUUUGAUACUGGAAAGCUUGAGUUCGAGAGAGGUGAGUGGAACUGCGAGUGUAGAGGUGAAAUUCGUAGAUAUUCGCAAGAACACCAGUGGCGAAGGCGGCUCACUGGCUCGAUACUGACGCUGAGGUGCGAAAGCGUGGGGAGC